AUGUGAAUUUUAGUGACAUAUUCACUUGUCCAGGAAGUGAGCUCCAUGCUUUUGGAGAAGCUGGUCGAUGCAGGCAUUGGAGACCGUCCUGUUGUUUUUGUGACUCACAGCAUGGGAGGGCUGGUUGUGAAGCAGAUUCUAUACCAAGCAAAAGUAGAGAACAAGGAAAACAUUGUCAACAACACUGUUGGAGUUAUUUUCUACAGCUGCCCACAUUUCGGUAGCAGACUAGCAGACAUGCCCUGGAAAAUGGGCCUUGUACUUCGUCCUGCUCCCACGAUAGGAGAGCUAAGAAGUGGGUCACCUAGACUAAUAGAACUUAAUGAUUUCAUUCGCCCGCCUACACAAAAGGGGUCUGGAAGUUCUUAGUUUCUGUGAGACCAAGGUAACUCCAAUUGUUGAGGGUUAUGGAGGUUGGGCCUUCCGAAUGGAAAUCGUAGCGAUUGAGUCUGCAUAUCCAGGCUUCGGCCAGCUUGUGGUAUUGGAUUCGACGGAUCAUGUUAACUCGUGUAAGCCACUCAGCCGGAGUGAUCCUUCUUAUGCAGAGACACUUGAGUUCUUGAGGAACCUGAAAGCCCAGUACAGAUCAUAUAGUAAGGAAACUAAUCGCUGAAAAAAAAACUUACAUUUUUUUUGGUAGGUGUAAAUAUGUUUAGGGUUAAAGUAAUUUUUUGAUGAGACAGAAAAUUAAAUGGGGAUAAGUUUUGGGGUAGAUAGAAUAGAAUGGCGCUGUAAAUUACUUACUCCAUAAGAUUAAGAUCAAUCAGGUGUUAAUUUCUUGUACAAAAGAUUGUUACACAUGAGUAAAAAAAGGAUAUGAUUUAACUUUUUG